ACAGCUCAGGCCUGCAGGAGGGCACCCGGCCUGGCAUCUGCCCUUUCCCAUCCCCUUUCCCACACCUGCAGCUGGCGCCUUCCACCCGGUGAGCCACAGCCGGUGCCACCUCUCAUUAGACUCAGGCCAAUGUCACCAUCCUCCAUCCACCUGUCCUUUCAGUCAGUCUGUGGAGACCCCAUUCUGGGACCUGUACUCCAAGGUCACCAUUUCAGUUUGUGAGAUCAAGCCCCACAUCGAGCUCUGUGCAGACAGUGUGGAGCCUCCUUGGUAUUCUUUCUGUUUUUGACCCUCCCACCAUG